rnacentral:rRNA from 2 species
GGGAUUGCCCCAGUAACGGCGAGUGAAGCGGCAACAGCUCAAAUUUGAAAUCUGGAGUCUUUGUUGGCUUCCGAGUUGUAAUUUGCAGAGGGAGCCUCGGAGGGCUGGUCGGUCCAAGUGCCUUGGAACAGGAUACCGCAGAGGGUGAGAGUCCCGUAUCCGGCCGACGCAGUGCUCCGUGUGAGGCCUCUUCGACGAGUCGAGUUGUUUGGGAAUGCAGCUCUAAGUGGGUGGUAAAUUCCAUCUAAAGCUAAAUACUGGCCAGAGACCGAUAGCGAACAAGUAGAGUGAUCGAAAGAUGAAAAGCACUUUGAAAAGAGAGUUAAACAGUACGUGAAAUUGUUGAAAGGGAAGCGCAUGGGGGCAGACUUGGACGCGGGGUUCAGGGUCUCUUUUUUGGAGGCGUGUACUUCCCCGCGGACAGGCCAGCAUCGGUUCUGGGGGCCGGACAAAGGCGACGGGAACGUGGCUCUCUUCGGGGAGUGUUAUAGCCCGACGUGCAAUGCGGCCACCUGGGACCGAGGACCGCGCUUCGGCAAGGAUGCUGGCGUAAUGGCCUCAUGCGGCCCGUCUUGAAACACGGACCAAGGAGUCUAACAUCUAUGCGAGUGUUUGGGUGGCAAGCCCGGACGCGCAAUGAAAGUGAACGGAGGUGGGAGCCCUUUCCCGCGUGGAGGGGGUGCAGCAUCGACCGAUCCGGACGUUUUCUGAAGGAUUUGAGUAAGAGCAUAGCUGUUGGGACCCGAAAGAUGGUGAACUAUGCGUGAAUAGGGUGAAGCCAGAGGAAACUCUGGUGGAGGCUCGCAGCGG